rnacentral:rRNA from 1 species
AAUAAGCGGAGGAAAAGAAACCAACAGGGAUUCCCUUAGUAACGGCGAGUGAACCGGGAAAAGCUCAAAUUUGAAAUCUGCCAACAGGCCGAGUUGUAAUUUGUAGAUGGCUACACUGCAUAAUAGUAGAUGCUCAAGUUCUUUGGAAAAAGACAUCAUGGAGGGUGACAAUCCCGUGAGGCAUGUUACUAGGAGCAUAUAGUGGGCUUUCUAAGAGUCGAGUUGUUUGGGAAUGCAGCUCAAAGUGCGUGGUGAAUACCAUGUAAAGCUAAAUAUGGACGAGAGACCGAUAGCGAACAAGUACUGUGAAGGAAAGAUGAAAAGCACUCCGAAAGGAGAGUGAAAUAGUACGUGAAAUUGUUAAAGUGGAAGGGCUUGAGAUCAGAAUUGGUAGUUUGGGUUCCACGUCCUCUUGGGGGCGUGUACUCCCUUUCCACCGGGCCAGCGGGAGUUUCGUCUCUUGGGUAAAAGCAGUGGAAUGUAGCAGCUUGUCUGUAUUAUAGCCUCUGUUCAUACAAGACGUCGAGAC